rnacentral:rRNA from 1 species
UGCCAGCAUCCGCGGUACGCCUAAUUUGGCAACCGUUGUUCGGAAUUACUGGGCAUAAAGAGCACGUAGGCGGACUACUAAGUCGGGUGUGGAAUCCCUCGGCCCAACCGAGGAACUGCGCCCGAUACUGGUAGUCUUGAGGACAGGAGGGGAGCGUGGAAUUCCUGGUGGAGCGGUGAAAUGCGUUGAUAUCAGGAGGAACACCGGCGGCGAAGGCGACGCUCUGGCCUGUUUCUGACGCUGAGGUGCGAAAGUGUGGGGAGCAAACAGGAUUAGAUA